UUUGGAAUGAUCGUCUUGAGCGAGCGAGCAGCGAUCGUCGUCUUCGGCGAGAGCGAGCGAACAAGCACCGACCGUCUUCUUCAGCGAGAGCGAGCAGCGAUCGUCUUCUUCAUCGAGCGCAAGCAGCGAUCGUCUUCUUCGUCGAGCGAGCGAGUGUCCUCUUUGUCUCUCUGGUUUUGAUUUCUAGGUUUUGUCCUAAUUUCAGGUUUCAUCUGGAAGCUUCUCUGCUCUCAAUUACCCGGGUGCGCUCUCUAUUCUUGUGCUUGAUUUCGAUUGAUUUUGAUUUCAAGUUUGAUUUUGAUUUGAGUUAGAUUUUGAGUUCGACGUUGAGUUUGAUUAUCUCCCAAAAAUUUCGUGGCUUGAUUUCCUAAAUUCUCAGUUUCUCCUAACUGUCAUUUGGUUUGUGUUGUGAUUUUCAUUAUGAAUAAGAAUAUGUUCUGUUUGAUUAUAUUUACUUCAAGAGAUUAUGUGUUUUCGAUGUGCAAGUUUGGUGAGCAAAUAAGAAUAUGUUCUGUUACUCUUAAAACAAUAUGUUUUGUUAAUGAUUUUUAAACUUGUUUUAGAGUGUUUUAGAAUGAGAGAAAUGGUAUAUCCCUCUCAUACAGAUCAUCUACAUACAUAUGUUGCAUUGCAUAGUAAAGAAGAAGCAGAGAAUAACUAUCUAAACUCAUUUUCAUCUGGAUAAAAAGAAGAAGCACUGUAGGAGAGGCAUUCAUGGACUAAUACUCUGGUUCCACAAGCUGCCACUACGACAAAAAAUGUUUUAAGUCUCAAGAGUUUUGGCUCCAAGGGCUUGGUUGUGUUCUCAUCCUUCUGGGUUUGAUGUUUGAGAACUUUCAAAAGAUGCUCCCGAUGAUAUAGAAGGGUUGGAUUCUUCUGCAGCACAUGUUGCAAAUUUGCUAUCAACAGAGCGUGAUGACAAUAGGUUAUGAUGUGGUUCCUUAUAAGUUUGGUGAGAAAUCUUCGCGGACUUUGAGUUUAACUGGCUAUCAGAACAUGACUUUGAGUUCCUUAUAAGUUUGAAAUGGGCUCAUAAGCAUUACACAGCAAAAGCAUCAAGAGGGGCCAUCUCAACAAUGGAGAAACUUCUACUAAUUCAGGAUGCAAAAUACAACUAAUUCAGGAUGCGGAAUACAUUUAUCAAUUUAUUUUUAGAUUUUGUUUUUGAGAGAUACAUGUCUUGUGAAUUUGUUGGAGGAAUGUUGAUACAUAUAUAGUUUUUUUAAAAUGAUAUAUGAUGCCCAUUUUGUUAUUUUAUACU